rnacentral:misc_RNA from 1 species
CCUUGUGGAGGAGGACGCCGAAGGUGGGGCUAAUGACUGGGGUGAAGUCGUAACAAGGUAGCCGUACCGGAAGGUGCGGCUGGAUCACCUCCUAACAGGGAGACAACAAAAUGUUAAAUAUUAAUUUUGUCACCUUAGGUCGAUCGGUAUCUCACAUUCUUAAAUUAAUUUAAGGAUUUUAUUUCCUAAGUUUUUUCUAGGUCACACCCAUUACUUUUUCCUGGGCCAUUAGCUCAGGUGGUUAGAGCGCACCCCUGAUAAGGGUGAGGUCCCUGGUUCAAGUCCAGGAUGGCCCAUAUCUCUAUGUUGGGGGUAUAGCUCAGUUGGUAGAGCGCCUGCUUUGCAAGCAGGAUGUCAGCGGUUCGAGUCCGCUUACCUCCACUGAUCACCACCUCUUCCAUAAUUUUAUAGAAGGGAAUUGUUUUGAGUUGUGAUCAAAUUCUGAACGAAUCUAGCUUCCUAAUGAAACUUAUUAAGAUGCUGGACUCAUUGAAUUAAUUUCAUUGUUUUCAGAGAACCUUGACAACUGCAUAGAUUAUUUUUAAAGACAAUAAGCAUCUUUAAUGAUGCAGAUUUAUUAUUUGUGCGAAUGCAUUAAUAACAAUUCUAUUAAGCUGAUGCUUCAAUUUUUGAAGUUAUUGGUCAAGCUACAAAGGGCUCACGGAGGAUACCUAGGCACACAGAGGCGAU